GGUGCCCGGGCGGCUCGCCUCGCCGAGAAUCCAGCUCCAGGCUCCGGCACGGCCAAGCCGCCACAGUGUGGUUGCCCUAUAAGACUGGUACGCCCUACUCUCGGUAACAAUGGCCUCUGCUUUUGCACAGGGAAAAAAAACCACACAGACACACACACACUCUCUCACUCACACACAAGCUCACACACACCCCCACCUCUCCCCCUUUAGCAAGCUUAGAUGCCUGAUAAGGAGAGAAGGUGAUGGGGGAGGGGGGAAUUUUAAAUACCCCCCCCAAAAAAAGAGUGAGAAGGAAAGAAGGUAGAAGUGUUUUGUUCUUGUUUUUUUAAGAAUAGGUAGAUUUUUAAAUUGAGAAGGGGAGAGGAAGAAGAGAUGAAGGAGAGCUGGUGGAGUUCAAAGCUACCCCCCAAACCCCAAGAGUGAACCAUUAUGCUAAUUUGAGAAGUGGCCUCUGGAGGCUUAGUGAAAGACUGGCCUGGCCUGAGGGUGCUGGGUGCCCCUCCAUACUCAUUCACAGUUGGAACACCAGGACUUUUUUUUUUUUUUAAGUAGUUUUACUUCUCCUGGACUGAGGCUAGGUCUCCUGCCCUCUCUCCCUCUGACUCCCUCCUUAGUCUCCCACUUUUCGCUUCUCCCUUCCACAACCUCUCUAUUCCUUUCCCCUCAAAUUUCUAGGCCCAGUCUCUAACAGGGGAGGGGGUAAAGCCAGACCUUCUUUUUAAAAAUUACCCCUCCCCACUCCUUUUUUUUUUUUUAGAACAGACAAUAAGCGGUGAGUGACAAUUUUAAAAACCCAGAACAUCUUGCAGGGGGUGUGGGUUUGAGGAGAGAGUGACAAAAGAAGGACCCUGAAGUUUAGUUUGAACUCCAGACAGUGCCGCUGGCAGUAGAGGGGCUGUAAGAACUUCACAGAGAAGUUUCUGUUAGUAUUCUCACCUCCAGAGAGGCAGAAGAGCUAAGAGGUGAUAAGGACAUUUGUACUUCUGAGAAUAUGAAAACUAGCAGGGCUUCAUUUUAAAUGUGCAUGCAGAAGAGAUGGAAGAUGGUUUUUGUUAUUAUUCUGAGCAAACCUGUUUGUUUCUCUCCUCUCUCAGCUGUGCAAGAUUUACGACUCUUGGCACAAGUGAGGAAGGCUACAAAAGCUAAAGUUUUCUUAGGGCGUGUUUGAACAGGCCAGGAAAAGGCAAGGGGGGAGGCCUGUAGGAGGAAGACAGGAGCCAAAAAUGUAGGUGUCUGCAGAUUUGAGGCGGGGGUGGGGAUGAACCAUUCUCAGCCAAGGAAAAAGACUGAAAGCACUAGGACAUUUCCCCAAGCAGGAGUGUUUGCAACUCUCUUUAACUGCUGACUCGGGGGUUCGGGGAUAAAAUAGAGGGCAGGCAGUCUCUUCUACAAAGGCAGCCUCGGAAGCGGGUUCUCUCAACUUCGUGUAGACAGAGCCUGCCACCCUCCUGUGAUUUCCUGGUUAAAUACUUUUCUUUUGCCUUCUCUCAUCUGGAUGCACCAGGACAGGCGAUGAGACUGGGAAAAACAAAGAGGCUUCCAGUCUCUCCAUUUUUGCUGCCCAGGCACAACGAAGAGAAUAUCAACCACUCUAGUUAUUUCUUGCCUGAGACAACAGUCCCCCAAGUUACAAGAAAUAAUUUACAAAAUGGAAACCAACAUCCCAAGCACAUCCCGGCAAGGUUCUCUCUCUCCUUUCUUAACCCAAAGAGCAUUUCUUCUUCCCAGCCAGAAUCAAGCUCACUCCCUCCAAAUGAAGUUGGAAAGGAGGAAUGAACUGGACAUGAGAAGGAGGUUGGAUCCUAGUUUAGGGAAGGGGCUGUGUAUAGACCGGUACCCUAAUCCUCACCACUGCACUCUUGGAAUGACAUUUUUAUUCCUUCUCUCUUUAAUGGACAGCAAUAGAAAAAUAAUCCAGAAAUUCCAAGGUAGCAAAGAAGGUUUUGGGGCUAGAGGGGAAUGGAGAGGAUGGGUUAUAUGACAGCUCAAGUACCACUCUCUGUGGAGGUGUGACUUUCCCUCCUGGGCAGGAGGCAAGAGCCAACACAAUAUCCAGUCUCAGAGAGGUCAAGGGGCUUCCGAGGUCAUUUUGUGGUUCUAAUACUGAGCUAAUCGCCUAGAAAACGUGGCCUCUCCAUGAACUCUCUCUCCUGCCAGCCUCCCGCCUCCAAACCCUAAGUGAGGCCUCAGGGAAAAAGGGCCAGAACAUUCAGGUCUGAUGCAAAGCCCACUGAUUCUCUCAGCCUGAGAAGCAGAGUCCCAGAGGAGAGAACAGAGCCCCCAAACCGAAAGAGCAAAAGGAAAUCAAAUUGAACACUGAGCUUCCAGGAAGAAGACCAGAGGAACAGAGCAGAAGAGGAAUAUUUCUGUCAGUGCAUCUCACCUGUGAACUGAGCAAUUUUUGACUCCAGAGAAAAGCACAGAUUUGUCUAAAAUCCCAAACUAGACACAAGAAGAAAACCAAGCACAUCCACCUACACUAGCCCCAGGGCUGGGACAUUCCAUCCAAGAACUGGAUUCCAUUUUUCCAGGAGGCAGCAGUGACAUCUUCGCUGGUAAACAGGCAUGUAGAACAACAAGCCUCCAGUAUAGACAGAAUCCCAGGAAUAGACUGCCACAUGUGCACUUCGCUAGACACACAGGCACACAUGCAGUCCUCCCCAUGUCUGCCUGCAUUUUUCGGAAACCAGAAAAGCACUUCUGAGCCGCCUCAAACAAUCUCCUUCCCUGUAGUUUUUCAGGGGCCCUGACGUGUCUGCCAGCAAACACUCUCCAGGUGUCCAGCACACACCACACAUCCACCCCUGCAAGCAUCAGUCAUCAUAAAAGGCAGCAAACCUGCCCAAAGUGACCACCAUAAAAAUCCCCAGAAGAUAGUUGAAAAAGAAAAAGGAGGCGAGAGAAUAUUUCUUCUUUUGCUUGUGAAACGAGCUCAUAAAACGAUCAAAAUAUGCCAGACCAGGCCGGGGCUUUGUUACCUUUGCGACUCUCGCCUCCUCUCGCCUGAGCUUCGCUGGUCCCAUUCAUGCCGAACGGCUUCUUCCAAACAGAGAAAAAAGUUUUCAACUUUAUGGUUCCAAAAUUUUUCCCCCUCGCAGAUCCGGGAGAGAUGGCUAAACACUUUUUUCCCCCAACAGCCGGUCUGCGGAGAUUUGCUGUUGAAUAAUAACAAAGGAGAGAGGAUACGUAUUUAAAGAAAAGAAGUGAUUAAUGGUUUUCUGUAUAAUUCUCACAUUUUUCUUAGCUCUUGUCUACACAGAAUGGCUGUGAACUUUAAGCUCCAUAGAAAUCUUUUUUUUUUUUUUAAUUCUAUUCAUACCUUCCAAGGAGAAGCUUUGAUUUGGUUCUUUAGAGACAUUCCUGGGGGGAGCGUAGGCUUUUUUAACAACUAUUUCCCCCCUCAACUAUGGGCCUCCCCAUCCUCUUGUGGCUACAACAUCACACCGCGGUGGACCGAAACAAAGCUGGCUCCCUCAUACUCCUCCAGGUCCCGGGCGAUUUUUUAUAAAUCUCCCGGCUGCAUUUAAACCAGCAAUUCACCGCCCUUUCCCUUUCCCAAACUGGGUACACCGGCCCUGUCCUUCCCGGCCCUACCCAUUCUCCAACUACCCGAGCUGCAAGGAAUGCAAAAUAAAUAACAAUAAAACAUAUGGGUGGGGUUGGCGUUUUUUAUUAUUAUUAUUAUUUUCUGAAAGGAGA